rnacentral:rRNA from 1 species
UACGUAGGGACCAAGCGUUGUUCGGAUUUACUGGGCGUAAAGGGCGCGUAGGCGGCGAAUCAAGUCAGCUGUGAAAUCUCCGAGCUUAACUCGGAACGGUCAGCUGAUACUGUUUUGCUAGAGUGCAGAAAGGGCAACCGGAAUUCUUGGUGUAGCGGUGAAAUGCGUAGAUAUCGAGAGGAACACCUGCGGCGAAGGCGGGUUGCUGGGCUGACACUGACGCUGAGGCGCGAAAGCCAGGGGAGCGAACGGG